rnacentral:snRNA from 25 species
AUACUUACCUGAAAAUGUUAUCGGAGCUCAUUAAUUCCUGAUAACCAGCUUACUUAUUUGCAUUGCACAUCGUUGAAUACAGUAAGCUGCUGAAUUGUACAAAGUUGUGCAAUUCAGGUUUUGUAAUUUUUGAUUUC